rfam:Triticum aestivum genome assembly, contig: Triticum_aestivum_CS42_TGACv1_scaffold_227634_3B
GACAGCUGUGAUGAGCCCAUUUUACAGUUACAGACCUGUACUCCUGUGGAAAUGAUCACAUGGUCAAAGAACAUCUAAGGGACUGAGGUGUG